UCUACCUAACACUCGGCACUGACGAUCGUCGCGCCGAGAAUCCUUAUAUAUUGUACGCACGGAGUCGCGAAACGAUAAAAUACAUCGAGAAAUGCGCGUCGUAUUAAAGCGUAAAAGUGGCGCAAAAUAUUAUGUAUUUUCUAGUUGAUGUCGCGAGUUAUCAAGACCACAAAUAUGUGUGAUAUGAUAAUAGUGAAGGCAACGUGUUAAGACGAACAAAGAGUCGAGUCACGGUGAGGCGAAGGAAAAGCUAUCCAAGUGACCCGAAACACACGUAAUAUCGCAAAGGAUAAUGAACACAGUCUCGUACUAAUUAUGCUCGCAAGGCGCAACCAUGGAAUUAUAUGCUAUAUGGUUUACCGUAAUCAGCACCGCGGCACCACGGAGAAGUAAGAAACUGCAGAUUUCCGUGU